rnacentral:rRNA from 1 species
CUGGCGGCAGGCCUACACAUGCAAGUCGAACGGUAACAGGAUGUGCUUGCACAUCGCUGACGAGUGGCGGACGGGUGAGUAAUGCUUGGGAACUUGCCUUUGCGAGGGGGAUAACAGUUGGAAACGGCUGCUAAUACCGCAUAAUGUCUUCGGACCAAACGGGGCUUCUGCUCCGGCGCAAAGAGAGGCCCAAGUGAGAUUAGCUAGUUGGUAAGGUAACGGCUUACCAAGGCGACGAUCUCUAGCUGUUCUGAGAGGAAGAUCAGCCACACUGGGACUGAGACACGGCCCAGACUCCUACGGGAGGCAGCAGUGGGGAAUAUUGCACAAUGGGGGAAACCCUGAUGCAGCCAUGCCGCGUGUGUGAAGAAGGCCUUCGGGUUGUAAAGCACUUUCAGUUGUGAGGAAAAGUUAGUAGUUAAUACCUGCUAGCCGUGACGUUNACAACAGAAGAAGCACCGGCUAACUCCGUGCCAGCAGCCGCGGUAAUACGGAGGGUGCGAGCGUUAAUCGGAAUUACUGGGCGUAAAGCGCACGCAGGCGGUUUGUUAAGCUAGAUGUGAAAGCCCCGGGCUCAACC